rnacentral:rRNA from 1 species
GACGAACGCUGGCGGCGUGCCUAAUACAUGCAAGUUGAGCGCUGAAGGUUGGUACUUGUACCCACUGGAUGAGCAGCGAACGGGUGAGUAACGCGUGGGGAAUCUGCCUUUGAGCGGGGGACAACAUUUGGAAACGAAUGCUAAUACCGCAUAAAAACUUUAAACACAAGUUUUAAGUUUGAAAGAUGCAAUUGCAUCACUCAAAGAUGAUCCCGCGUUGUAUUAGCUAGUUGGUGAGGUAAAGGCUCACCAAGGCGAUGAUACAUAGCCGACCUGAGAGGGUGAUCGGCCACAUUGGGACUGAGACACGGCCCAAACUCCUACGGGAGGCAGCAGUAGGGAAUCUUCGGCAAUGGACGAAAGUCUGAACGAGCAACGCCGCGUGAGUGAAGAAGGUUUUCGGAUCGUAAAACUCUGUUGGUAGAGAAGAACGUUGGUGAGAGUGGAAAGCUCAUCAAGUGACGGUAACUACCCAGAAAGGGACGGCUAACUACGUG